rnacentral:rRNA from 1 species
UGGGGAAUCUUGGACAAUGGGCGAAAGCCUGAUCCAGCCAUGCCGCGUGAAUGAUGAAGGCCUUAGGGUUGUAAAAUUCUUUCACCGGAGAAGAUAAUGACGGUAUCCGGAGAAGAAGCCCCGGCUAACUUCGUGCCAGCAGCCGCGGUAAUACGAAGGGGGCUAGCGUUGUUCGGAAUUACUGGGCGUAAAGCGCACGUAGGCGGAUUAGUAAGUUGGGGGUGAAAUCCCGGAGCUCAACUCCGGAACUGCCUUCAAAACUACUAAUCUAGAGGUCAGGAGAGGCGAGUGGAAUUCCGAGUGUAGAGGUGAAAUUCGUAGAUAUUCGGAGGAACACCAGUGGCGAAGGCGACUCGCUGGACUGAUACUGACGCUGAGGUGCGAAAGUGUGGGGAGCAAACAGGAUUAGAUACCCCCGUAGUCC